ACAAAUUGAAUUUAAUUUUUUAAACUUAACCGAAUCAAUAUAUAAUAUAAAAAUUCCAUCAUUUGACAUUGAAAAGUUAGGCGUACCUAAAUCCUCAAAAAUUGGCAUGCCAUGCCCAUACCAUACCUAUUUUGUUGCUCACUGUUGUCUAUGUGAUGUGUUCUCAUAUAAAUUUUAUAUGGAUGAACAUGGUAUAUAAUUAUUGUGUUAUUGCUAACAAUGAGAGUUAGAGAAGAAAAUAUUAUUUUGUGUUUUAAUAUUAUGUAUUUUUUUU